rnacentral:rRNA from 1 species
CGCCAGACUCCUACGGGAGGCAGCAGUAGGGAAUUUUGCGCAAUGGGGGAAACCCUGACGCAGCAACACCGCGUGAAUGUUAAGCCCUUCGGGGUGUAAAGUUCUGUCAAUAGGGACGAAUUUUGACUGUACCUAUAAAGGAAGCACCGGCUAACUCCGUGCCAGCAGCCGCGGUAAUACGGGGGGUGCAAGCGUUGUCCGGAAUCAUUGGGCGUAAAGCGUUCGUAGGCGGUAAAGUAAGUCAGAUGUUAAAGCCCGGGGCUCAACUCCGGUUCGGCAUUUGAUACUACUUGACUAGAAUGCGGUAGAGGUAAAGGGAAUUCCUGGUGUAGCGGUGAAAUGCGUAGAUAUUAGGAGGAACACCAGUGGCGAAGGCGGCCUGCUGGGCUUUUACUGACGCUGAGGCUCGAAAGUGUGGGGAGCAAACAGGAUUAGAUACCCUGGUA